UACAGAGGUCCCAAGCGUUGUCCGGAAUCAUUGGGCGUAAAGAGCGUGUAGGCGGCUUGGUAAGUCCGCUGUGAAAGUCCAGGGCUCAACCCUGGAAUGCCGGUGGAAACUGUCAAGCUUGAGUCCGGAAGAGGCGAGUGGAAUUCCUGGUGUAGCGGUGAAAUGCGCAGAUAUCAGGAGGAACACCAAUGGCGAAGGCAGCUCGCUGGGACGGUACUGACGCUGAGACGCGAAAGCGUGGGGAGCAAACAGG
rnacentral:rRNA from 1 species